UGCAGAUCAGACUAUAUGUAAAC
rnacentral:miRNA from 1 species